UAGAGGCAGCGGGGUCACCAUGG
rnacentral:misc_RNA from 1 species